UCAUAUGUACCCGGUUUGGUCGUAUAAUGAUCAGUUGCCUAGAUGUUAAGUAUUGCCGUAGAUGCCUGUGCACCAGCUUACAAUAAUUUUUCUUUUAACAGUUAACCGAGUUCAAAGUCAUUUUAAACAAUAUGCAUAAUCCGAUCAUUGAAUGUCUGACAGCCAAAUCCAAUAUGUAACCAAAUACCACAAUUCCUGUAGUCCCCAUUAGUAUACCAGCUGGUACAUCCA